GCCAACAAAAUUGAAUUCAGCACACUCUCCGUUGAUCCUGUGAAACAGAAUGAGCUGAGUGGUGCCCAUGAGAUACUGAGGGGCUGGCUCCCUCCCACUCCACCUGUAACCUGAGUGUCCCAUUUCGUGAAGUAUUGAAAAACCUUUGGUAAAACUUUGAAAGAGCUUUUAUUUUCCUGUUUCACUUUAUUUGCUACUUUAAGAAUCAGCCAACUACUGACAUCACUGUUCCUCCACUUCCCACUCUCACUGCUGCUGCGGCCACCUGUCUAGGUACUCGGCUGAGGGCUCAGCUGUGCCAGCGUCUCAGAUAAAUGCUGUACAAGCAUUGCCUCACUCAGCUGUCACACACAAAAGGAAAAAUCCCACAGGAAUGAGUUAUGAUCAUCUUCUUUACCCAAGGGAUAAUUGGGGUGGAAAGAGUGAAAAUUUCUAGGUCCCACAACUAGUAAGAGAUGGUUUCAUGACAGAGCCAGGCUCUCCAUCCCCAUCCUACCCUCUUACCUAAACUACUCUGUCCCACUCCUUAGGACUCAGAUCCCCACUGCCCCUACCUCCUGUACUGUCACUUAAACCCAUUCCUGUCAGCAGU